UGAGUAAGCUGGAUGGUCGCGCCCCAUAAAGGUGAGGAAAGUCCGGGCUUCAUAGAGCAGGGUGCCGGUUAACGACCGGUGGAGGCGACUCUAAGGAUAGUGCAACAGAAAUAAACCGCCUGUAUAUGCAGGUAAGGAUGGAAAGGUGGGGUAAGAGCCCACCGCUUCUCUGGUAACAGGGGAGGCUCUGUAAACCCCACCUGAAGCAAGACGAAAUGAAACGUGAGGACUGCUCGUCCUGUUUCAAUCAUGUCGCAUGAUGCUGUUGGCAACAACAGACCAAGAUAGAUGACUGUCCACGACAGAACCCGGCUUACAUGGCUUGCUCACGAU
rnacentral:RNase_P_RNA from 1 species